AGCAGGACUCCCAUAAAUUUGAAGGAGGCAUGCGAACCAUGGCACCUCGUAGGAGGCCAGCCUUAAUUUAGGCUUUCCAAAGUUAUGCGUUGGAAUUCUUUUUUCCCCCCACUGGACUUUUAGCAUUACAGCCUAAUUCUGUAUCGCGGCAGCUUACAGAUUUUCAGCCCUUGCCUAUUGUAAAGUGUGUUUCUGGGGGAACCAAUUACUUUGGCACUAUAUGAAGUCUUGCAGUGCGCUGCUAUAAACGUAGGUUUUAAUAAUGAAAAUAUAAAGAGUGAUUCAUUACCCCUGUAGUUCACUUGCUUUUUUAACUUUUUGCUUCUCGCAGCCUAAUUUGAUCCAGAGUACACCCAUGUUUGUUGCCAUAUUCUGCAAGAUGUGAGACGUAACAGAGGGCGCACUGAAAUACAUGCAGAGAGGACAUGACAAGACUCUUAUAGGUGGAAAAGAAAAGAAGCUGUCCCACCCAGAAAGCCUCUGGAAGAAAUGCUGUAUGAAGGACAAGAAUCUGAUAGGAAAGGAGGUAUAGAAGCUGAUCAGACUGGUAACUGAACCUUUCUUCAAACAGCAACUGUAGGGUAAGAUCCUCUUCAACAUCCAAGGCCAGUCUAUGACAUCCCAUUACCACCUGAGAUGGUCGCCUGGCAGGUAUCUACUAUGCAUCCUUUCAGCCUUAGUUCUUCAUGGAAAUAGGAGGAGAAGCACCACCCAAAUGGUCUGAAGGACAAACAGGAUGGGCCAUUAAAAAACAAAUAAUUCAGCCUUGCAAAUAAUCCUACACCAAAUGCCAGCUCCCAAAAUGUUUACCAGCACACCUGAGCACAUGGGCCUGUUUUAAACAUUGGUGUCUUUCAAGAUCAACAACAAUCCAGGAUUUCAAACUUUCUAUGGCUGGUGUCCUGAGAAUGAAGCUGACAAACAGCAGGGGGUCCGAGUAAGUGGCGAGUUGCAAGCCUGAAUGAAGCACAUUUCAAUGGCGGAGCAGGAGAAGCAAUUGACCCAGAUAGCAUCCAGAUGAAACACAGGCAGCAGAGCCAAGAAAAGCUGAAUUUAGCAACUGGAAUAAAUUAUGCAAGCUAAUGUUGUA